GGGUGCAAAGGGGAGGGAGGAGGAGGAGGAGGAAAGGAAAUUAAUGGUUAUCAGAGCUCUUCUUGGGGGCCAGUUCAGACCCCAGGGGCCUCACCCCUGUACUUUGCCAUGGGGCCUCUUGCGUCCAUAGCUUUUGCCAAUAUAGGUCAGACACAGGGUCACACAGUGGUGCAAUCCUACAAAAUACAAUUCUAAAGCUGCCUUUAAAAAUUGUUUUAAAUAUUAUGGAUACGAGGAAAUGCUUACAAUAUUAACUGAAAAAAUCAGGUUAUAUGAUGCAAUUUUGUAGAGAAAAACAUGGAAAGGCACCCACACAGAAGUCCAGAGAUCACUUGCCCUCCAAGCAGAGCUGGCCCCUCCCUUGUCAGGGCUUCUGAGGCCCUCACAUCCCAGUACAGCCCCUCAUCCUCUGAUGUCCCUGGAGGUCACGUGUCUGGUCCUCCGCCAGACUCAGCUUCUUGAGCCUUCCAAUUAACACAGCACUGGCACAGGUGGGCAUUUGAUAAGUGUUUGCAAAUGAGAAGUGGAUAAAUGAUGGAAAGAAGGAAGGAAGGAGGGAAGAAAGGAAGGAAGGGGUGAGUUCAGAGGGAAAUACACCAAAAUGUUAAGGGUUAUUAUCAUCUGGAUAAUUUAUUUUAUCUUUAUAAUUAUCUGUCUUCCAAAAUUACAUGAAUGAAUCACUUUUAUAAUAAAUCCACUUCUUAUCAAAAUUCUGCUAUUUAAAUCAAUCUGAACUGUUUUCUCAUAACUUCAAGUCCUGUUUUUAACUAGAAAAUCCAGAAGACACUGAACUAGAUCGUGUCCACCACAGCAGCCACAUCUUUAAAGCCAGUACUGGGACAAUCUAACAGGUUCCCAAAUGCUCAUAAAAGAAAUGGAACCGAAUACUUGGAAUCACGGUGCUUCACAAAUCUGAGCAAGACCCCCACAUGUAAGGAACAGGCACCCCACAUCUAAGGAAGAAGGCAGCAUUGCAGGGUGUGUGGGAUCUGUUUCACCCAAAGCUGGCCCCUCUGAAAUGCCCUCAUAAGGAUGGAAAGAGGGAAAUGUGGAAGGAGACAGACACCCUAUCCAGGUCCGAUAUUCCUUCCAGCCCAACCUUGCUUCCCCGAGGCUGAACUCAUUCUGCUUCUAAGAUAUGACUCUUGUCUUCCCCGACGAGGAGCUGGAUAUUCCAGAACGUUUCCAGUAAUUAUUUUCCAUGGAUAGUGAUUCCAAGUCAAGAGAGAAAAGAACACCAAGGCUCACCAAGGCCUUGAGAGAAUCGGGAGGGAGAGCGAGAGCAUCAGAAAACCGGGGCUGAGGCCAAGGCCAGUUCAAACAACAAUGGUCUUAAAGUCUUAUAAUGUGAGAAACGGAAUCACUGCAAAGAAAAACAAAGCGAUCUCAGCACAGUGGCAAUCUCCAAGCACGGCUGUCGACUUCAUCUUUGAUAAGAAAAAAGAGGAGACGUGGAAAAUUCCCCCGGAACCCGACCCCAGUUGGGCAAGGGGUCCAUUCUAACCUCACAGGCACCCAGAGCAGGCUCCUCAUUGCGUGUGUGCGCUUGCUUCUCUGCCCACCCUUGGUUCUAAUGUACGCCACUGCUGAUGUGAUCAGAACUAAAACUGAGACCAAAUACACUACUUUCCUCAAAUAAAAAAAAUAAAAGUAAAGCCAGAGUCAGGA